rnacentral:rRNA from 1 species
AAAGAAACUAACAAGGAUUCCCCUAGUAACGGCGAGUGAAGCGGGAAGAGCACAAAUUUAAAAUCUACCUGGUUUCCAGGUCGAGUUGUAAUUUGAAGAUACGUUUUUGACGUUCYGGGUUGGACUAAAUCCUUUGGGAUAAGGUAUCAUAGAGGGUGAGAAUCCCGUAUAUACCAACCGUAGGGAUGUUAUUAAAUACGUUUCUAAGAGUCGAGUUGUUUGGGAAUGCAGCUCUAAAUGGGUGGUAAAUUUCACCUAAUGCUAAAUAUAAGCGAGAGACCGAUAGCGAACAAGUACAGUGAUGGAAAGAUGAAAAGAACUUUGAAAAGAGAGUUAAAUAGUACGUGAAAUUGUUGAAAGGGAAACGAUUGAAGUCAGUCAUGCCAGUGGGAAUCAACUUAGGGGAAACUCUGGGUGCACUUCUUCGCUUGGCAGGUCAACGUCGAUUUUGRAUGUCAUAAAAUAAUUGGGGGAAGGUAGCUCCUUCGGGAGUGUUAUAGCCCUUGRUAGAUGUGAUGUUUGGGGUCGAGGAUUGCAACGGAUACCCUUYGGGGCUAGCCGCCUGAUCUCUAAUUGGUGUUGGGUUACGGAUAGCAUGCUGACCGUGAUCUAAUUACUGGUUAAAAGGUUA